GAUGAACGCUGGCGGCGUGCCUAACACAUGCAAGUCGAGCGAAGCGCCUUACUUGAUUUCUUCGGGAUGAAAGUAUUGUGACUGAGCGGCGUCGGUGAGGUACGCUGUAGUAACUGCUCAUACAGGGGAUAACAGUUAGAAAUGACUGGCUAAUACCGCAUAAGACCACAGCACCGCAUGGUGCUAGGGGUAAAAACUCCCGGUGGUAUGAGAUGGAGUCCGCCGUCUGAUUAGCUAGUUGGUAACGGUAACGGCUUACCAAGGCAACCGAUCAGUUAGGCCGACCUGAGAGGGUCGACCGGCCACCAGUUGGGACUGGAGACACGGCCCAA
rnacentral:rRNA from 1 species